GCAUGUUACAACUAUACUUCACUGUCCAAGCACCAGAGGUGUAUUCCUGUGAAAAACAUCUGAUUUGCCAGGAACAUACUCAGAAUAUAAUAAACAAUAUUACAUAAACUAUGACAAUAUAUCUCACUAAUUCUAUUAAAUCAAUUUCUGCAAAUUGAUGAAAAACACAUUUUGAGAAAUUAUUUUGCUUUCGUUCAUAACCCUUCUUAAUUCCUUUAUAAACAUUUCAUACACAUCUAAGCAUUUCAACUUUUGUUCUGAAACAUAGAAUAAACGUUUUUCUUUUUACUUUGUUAUUUUUCCUUCCAAAAUAUAUUUAAAACAAGAAUGUGUCCAAAGUUCAUGGAUGCCAUAAUCGCACUAUCAUUUUCUUUCUUCAGUGGACCGUGAAAUUUUGAAACCGUAAAAAUCAAAUUUGUCAUUUAAAUUCGAAAUAUCAUAUCAUAUAUAACAUGUGUAAUGAGUUUCUAGUUGACUGGACUUCAACUUCAUCAAAAACUACCUUGACCAAAAACUUUCACCUGGAAUUUGCACUUUCAUUUUCUAUGUUCAGUUACCAUGAAAUUGGUGUAAAAAAUCUAAUUAGGACUUUAGAUUGCAAAGGUCAUAUCAUAAGAAAGAUGUGUACUAAGUUUGAAGUUGAUUUGACUGCAACUUCAUCAAAAACUACUUUGACCAUGGCCAAAAACUUUAACCUGAAGCGGGACAGACUGACGGACGCACAGCACAGAAUAUAAAAUGUCCCUCUACUAUCGUUGGUGGGGCAUAACACCAGCUUUCAAUCUCUUUAAUGUAUUUGUCUGAAACAAUACACGAAGUAGCCAAAAAUGUAAAUUUUGGUUGUAUCAAAGAUUUUAUAAUCAAUAAUUUAUACCAAUUAUUGUAGUUAGUUUUCUGUUUGUCCAUGCUCUAAGUAAGAAUUUCAUUUUAUCAACUUUUGGUUCCAAAUUUGAUUUUUCAUAUUCGUCUGUGUUGUGACCAAAAUAAAUCUCUAAAGCUAUAAAAGGUUUGUCCGUCCAUCUUAUGCCCUCAAUUUCAUCUUUGCUAUGUUUAAGCGCCCAUAUCCAUAUUCAUUCUGUUUUACUACGAUUUAAUCUCAGACCAGAGUUUGAACUAAAUGUUUCUAUAAUAUUCAUAGCUUUUGAUAUGUCAGUUUUUGAACUACAAAAAGGGUUGUAUCAUCUGUCAAUUGAGAUAAUUUUUUUUAACAAUAGUAAUCCAAAAUACCUUAAAUGUCAUAAUCGCAAAGCCAUAAUUUCUACUGACAAAACAAAAAGUGAUUUUUUGAAAGAUUUGAACUCUUUCCAGAUCUUUCGUAAGGCACCGCACUCUAAACAGAAAGCGUACAGAUUAGCUUCUUAAUAUAUAUACACACUGACAUAUAG
rnacentral:lncRNA from 1 species